rnacentral:rRNA from 1 species
GAUAGCCCUCGUCUCAAAUAAGCCUGCAUGUCUAAGUAUACAAAGUCUACUUUGAAACUGCGAACGGCUCAUUAGCCAGUUAUAGUUUAUUUGAUGUGUUGAAGUAGUUGUGAGGGGUUGUAUAUGUGUGUUGAUGUUUAUUGUGGUAUACAGAUCGAUCGAGCAUAUCAGAUGCAUAGCAAAUAUACAAAGUCUACAGGGAUAACCGUGGUAAUUCUAAAGCUAAUACCACGUGAAGGAAGGUGGUGGGGAGAGGGCGUGUUGUGAGAUAGUGGUUUAGAUAUAACACCCAAUACUCAUCAAUGCCAGCAUUUAUUAGAAAAGAAAUCAUUCAAUAAAAAGAAAGAUGAAUCAUAAUAAAAAAGCAAAUCGUUGAUUGAAAAAAGACGAUGAAUCAUUCAAGUAUCUGAUCUAUCAGCUUCGAUGGUAGGGUAUUGGCCUACGAUGGCGUUGACGGGUAACGGAUCUUUAGGGAGAGAAUCCGGAGAGGGAGCCUGAGAAACGGCUACCACAUCCAAGGAAGGCAGCAGGCGCGUAAAUUACCCAAUCCUAAAUCGGGGAGGUAGUGACAAGAAAUAGUGAGGAUGUAUUGUAGAUAAAAAUAUGAUAUAUCCAAACAAUGAGUGUAAUAUAUAUCCGUUAACGAGGAUCAAUGGAGGGCAAGUCUGGAUAGACCAGCAGCCGCGGUAAUCCAUUCCAAUAGCGGUAAUUAAAGUUGUUGCAGUUAAAAGCUCGUAGUUGGUGAUGAGGGUGGAUGGAUAAAGGGGAUAUGAGGGAAUGGUAUGUAAAAGAUAUCUUUCACACUUUACUCUUAUUAAUUCACACCCUUUAGAAGAAGAUAUAAUUAUUGGAAAUAUAUAUUAUAUUAAUAAUUUACUGUGAAAAAAUCAAAGCGUUCAAAGCAGGCUAAAAGGCUAUGAAAAAAGAUGGUUCCAGCAUGGAAUAAUGUUAAAUAAUAAUAGUGUGUGAAGUGGAGGUGAUAGAGUGUCCCUCCCCUACAUAAAUAGAUUGAAUAGGAACAGUCGGGGAUAUUCCUACUUAUAAUUCAGAGGUGAAAUUCUUGGAUUUUCUAAACCAAAACAACUGCAAAAGCUUUUAUAAGGGUUGUUUUCUUUAAUCAAGAACAAAAUUGUGGGGAUCAAAGAUAAUUAAAUCCCUUCGUAUUCUAAACAAAAAACAAUCCCUUUUCGAGGGAGGGUGAUGGGGGGUGGAGGGAAUACCAAAAAAAUGUUUUAUCACCCCCCAAUAAAAACAUCCCCCUCCUUCUUAUGCGAAAGCAAAAUGUUUGGGUUCUGGGGGGAGUAUGGUCGCAAGGCUGAAACUUAAAGGAAUUGACGGAAGGGCACCAUAAGGCGUGGAGCCUGCGGCUCAAUUUGACUCAACUCGGGGAAACUUAGCAGGGCAGAAACAAAUUAAGGAUGACAGAUUGGAAGUCUCAAGAAUUUACGUAUGUUUGGGUGGUGGUGCAUGGCCGUUCUUAGUUGGUGGAUAAUGAUUUGUCAGGUUAAUUCCGAUAACGAACGAGACCUCAAGGAUGAGUUGGAUGUGAUGUUAUAUUGUUGUAACUUGUCACAAUUCUCCCCCUCCGACAUUUCGCGAUAAAAUAAAAUAAAAAAAUAGCGGAAGGAAGUUUGAGGCAAUAACAGGUCUGUGAUGCCCUUAGAUGUCCUGCGCCGCACGCGCGCUACAAUGGUUGGGAAAGUGAGUGAUAAAGAUAGGUGAGAGGUAGUUAAAAUAACCUCUCAUCAACCUCGGUGUAGCCACCUUGGUAAUCUUUUAACCCCAAUCGUGAUAGGGCUAGAUUCUUGUAAUUAUUAAUCUUCAACGAGGAAUGCCUAGUAAACGCAAGUCAUCAUCUUGCAUUGAAUACAUCCCUGCCCUUUGUACACACCGCCCGUCGCAUCUACCGAUGAAUUUUGCGGUGAAGUCUUGGGAGUGGUGUACUUUAUGUAUGUGUAAAAAGCGUGCAAAGGUAUGUCAUGAACUUGAAUAAACCUUAACAUUUAGAGGAAGAGAAGGUCGUAACAAAGUUGC